UUACAAAUUAAUAUUUAUCUUGUUUCUCAUCAAUGGCUUCCCGUAGCUUAGCUUGUUUCAUCCUCUUCUCAAUCACCUUCACUGCAUUGUUUGUCCCUUAUGAAUGCUUUGAGAAUUGGAGUGGAGGAAGAGAAAAUAUGGUGGCGGGCGAGAAGAUCAACCUAGGAUGCUACAAGACGAGUUGCCAGAAUCAAGGGGUGUGCUGGUGUUGUCCCAGUCGUCUUCCAAUCAGAUGCUGGGCUACUCGAAUAGCUUGUGACAAAGACUGUCAAACAUAGCACACACAUUCACAAUUAUAGCAUUCUCCCAUCAAUAAUAAGUCUCUUCUUCAAAUUCUCUCACAUCACUUAUCCUUUUUAAUUAUAUGUAAACCCUAAUUACAUAAUUAUAUUAAUAUUUUAAUGAAUGGAGAAAUUAGAAUGUA